UAGGGAAUAUUGCAAAAUGGGCGAAAGCCCGAUGCAGCAACGCCGCGUGGGCGAUGAAGGCCUUCGGGUCGUAAAGCCCUUUUUGAGGGGAUGAGGAAGGACAGUACCCUCAGAAUAAGCCUCGGCUAACUACGUGCCAGCAGCCGCGGUAAAACGUAGGAGGCGAGCGUUAUCCGGAUUUACUGGGCGUAAAGCGCGUGCAGGCGGAUUGGAGAGUUGGAUGUGAAAGCCACCGGCUUAACUGGGAGAGGUCGUUCAAUACUUCCAGACUUGAGUGCAGAAGAGGGAAGUGGCAUUCCGGGUGUAGGCGUGAAAUACGUAGAAAUCCGGAGGAACACCAGUGGCGAAAGCGGCUUCCGGGACUGUAACCGACGCUCAGACGCGAAAG
rnacentral:rRNA from 1 species